UACGGAGGGUGCAAGCGUUAAUCGGAAUUACUGGGCGUAAAGCGCGCGUAGGCGGCUUGUUAAGCGGAAUGUGAAAUCCCCGGGCUCAACCUGGGCACUGCAUUCCGAACUGGCUGGCUAGAGUGUGGUAGAGGAAGGUGGAAUUCCAGGUGUAGCGGUGAAAUGCGUAGAUAUCUGGAGGAACAUCAGUGGCGAAGGCGACCUUCUGGAUCAACACUGACGCUGAGGUGCGAAAGCGUGGGGAGCAAACAGG
rnacentral:rRNA from 1 species